GCCCUCGUAGUUCAAUGGACAGAACGACCCCGUCCUAAGGGGUAAAUAUGGGUUCGAUUCCUGUCGAGGGCA
rnacentral:tRNA from 1 species